UUUACGACAAUGUCGACAUGGCGCUCGGUGGUUGUUUCGUCGCCAUCGCUGUGGUUGGUCGGUCGGUCUCCAGAAAACUCAGUGUGCUUGAGGCCGAUAGUCGCUGGGAAUACGCCGCGAUGCUAAGACCCGCAUACGCAAACGAAGUUGUCGCCGUCGUUAGUGCCGCUAUUGUUGUCGUUGUCGUUGUUAUUGUUGUAGUCAUUUUCGUUGUAGUUGUAACACCCGCUGCCGUCGUCACCGUCGCAUUUACUACCAUUGGAGUGUGCAAAUGAAAUAGGAGGAAAAAACGGCAACAGUGGAAAAAGUACAUAAACGGCGGUUGGUGAGGGAGUGAGCAUAAGAAAGGAAGGAAAAGGAAGUGCAAAAUUUUGUGAAAAAGUGCAAGUGGCGGUGAAAGUAAAGCAAGAAGUGGCUAUCUUCGUAACCGCCGCAGCCGUCGCCGCCUGCGGGCUGCUGCUGGGCGACUAAACCGCGCUCGCUGCACUCCUGUAAUCAACGUUAGGCAAGAUUGCGCGAAGUGCAGGAAGGUGCUACCAGAAGCUAGCUACUCAUCUCAGCUCAGCUUCACAAAGUGGACGAAGAAGGCUUAACGCUGUCGAAGAUCGUUUUCGCAGCUCAAUACCGGUUAGCAAGAUCGACAGUAGCACGGCUAAUGGUCGCGGUGACCAUUGACGCAGUGCGUUGCUGCUCGCUCGUUGCUCGCAGCUAAUGUGCUUUAUGUGGGUGUGUGUUUGUGUGCGACACUAAAAUUCUAGUGCAGGGUGAGUUUAACUUUCGUACUAUGCCACUUGGAACGUCGUAGCGCAAAAGAUGCUCUUGCUCACCUUCUGAUAUACGAAAUCAAAAAAAAAAAAAUCUGAAAAAUUCCGAGGCCACAAGUGAAAGUUUGUUAAAAUUGCGGCGAUAGUAAGAAAAUCUAUAAAAAAAUACACAUAGAAAGUUGCUGAAGUUGCUUCUUACUGCUUCCAAUUUCAAUUUGCUUCUUCUAUUCUUCCAUCUCCUUGGCCAUGCAAGCUUCAGCUGGCGAGUAGUGCAGUGCUUCGAAAGUAAAAAAAAAAAUGGAAAGAUGAAAAGUGACUGCAUAAAAGUGCAAAAAAUAAAUCAAAUAAAAAAAGAAAUGUAAAUCCUUACCAUCGCUGCGAAGUGCAUAAAAUCUUUUGCCACUGAGGCCAUUAAUGUUAAUGACGUAAAGUGAAAAUUUCAGUAGCCACCAGCAACCUUUGCGGCUGUCCUCUUCAACUUUUCGAAGCUUCCAUUUACCAACACUUUCGUCGACUACUACGUUUUAUGUUUUGCCUUUGGCGUAUUUUAAUGCUGAAGUGUUACAAUGACGUUGAUCGUCGAAUUUUAUGUUUGUGUAAAAAACCUUGGCUAAAUAUUGUGCAACUGAAUUAAAUACGACAGCAAUAAAUUUUAAGCAGCUGACAAAAAACGAAAAUGUUUCAAAGGCGUUAAUUUAAUUGUUCGAAAUAACGAAUUGCAGUUAAUCUACUACUAAUAAUAAUGUACAUAUAUACGUGAUGUUU